GAUGAACGCUGGCGGCGUGCCUAAUACAUGCAAGUCGAGCGAACGGACGAGAAGCUUGCUUCUCUGAUGUUAGCGGCGGACGGGUGAGUAACACGUGGAUAACCUACCUAUAAGACUGGGAUAACUUCGGGAAACCGGAGCUAAUACCGGAUAAUAUUUUGAACCGCAUGGUUCAAAAGUGAAAGACGGUCUUGCUGUCACUUAUAGAUGGAUCCGCGCUGCAUUAGCUAGUUGGUAAGGUAACGGCUUACCAAGGCAACGAUGCAUAGCCGACCUGAGAGGGGGAUCGGCCACAUUGGAACUGAGACACGGUCCAGACUCCUACGGGAGGCAGCAGUAGGGAAUCUUCCGCAGUGGGCGAAAGCCUGACGGAGCAACGCCGCGUGAGUGAUGAAGGUCUUCGGAUCGUAAAACUCUGUUAUUAGGGAAGAACAUAUGUGUAAGUAACUGUGCACAUCUUGACGGUACCUAAUCAGAAAGCCACGGCUAACUACGUG
rnacentral:rRNA from 1 species